GAAUCUUCCGCAAUGGGCGCAAGCCUGACGGAGCGACACCGCGUGAAGGAUGAAGAGCUUCUGCUCGUAAACUUCUGUUGUGAGGGACGAAAUUUUUGACGGUACCUCACGAGAAAGCACCGGCUAAUCCCGUGCCAGCAGCCGCGGUAAUACGGGAGGUGCAAGCGUUACUCGGAAUUACUGGGCGUAAAGCGUCCGCAGGUGUCUUGUUGCGUCUGGGGUAAAAGCACGGGGCUCAACCCCGUGUAUGUCUCGGAAACGAGCAAGAUGGAGUCACUCAGAGGUAUCUGGAAUGCCGUGUGUAGGGGUAAAAUCCGUUGAUCCACGGUAGAACGCCAAAAGCGAAAGCAGGAUACUGGGGGUGUACUGACACUCAUGGACGAAAGCGUGGGGAGCGAACGGG
rnacentral:rRNA from 1 species